GAAUGAAUUUAAAACUGCAUUUUGUAUUUAUUCAGGUUAUCUUUGACUAAUAUUAAAAUUUGUUUGAUGAUCUGAAAUAUGUCAAUGUGACAUAUAUGCAAAAUAAUUUCUCAGCACUAUAUAACAGACAAGAACAUGAUGAAUUAAUAAAAAUGACAAAGUUGGCAAAUGUUAGAGUUAGGAAGUUCAGAACAAACAGGAAAAUUUGGGCAGAAAUGAGAGAUUUUAAUAUGUACAUAUGGAAAAAUAAAACAAGAAAGGUAACAGUGAGGAAGAGAAGCGUGAUAAAUAAUAGGAAGGAAAGUGUAGGAAGAGUUUGGAGAAGAGAGAGAAGAAAAAAGCAAUCAACAGACAUAACAGAUGCCGUUAAAGUCAAUCAGAGGAAUGGAAGGAGGAAAUUAAAGAAGAGAAGGAUGCAUGGGGGAAAAAGAGAAAACAUUCAGAGACAGAUGUAUGCAAGCUUCAUGAUCAAACAGUAGAACAGCUCAUCCACUAGUUCAGUCCCUAAGCUGCAGAUCUAAAAUAGCCGCAUGUGAAUAUUUAUAUAUAUGCCUAUGUUCCUUUCCAUCGGCAAAGAGGCCAGGCAAAAUUGAUUUCUCUGUGUGAAUCCCCGAAGAGUUGAGACUCAGCAAAAGAAAAGCAGCAAAGAGCAAGGGAGAGUAAAAAGAAAGAAAUAAAGCGAUUUUAGAAAGAACAGAGGCGGGUUUUUGUGAAAUGAGUGGAAAAUGAAGAAAUGAGAGACACCUUCGGCUAAACGCAAGUGUACGACUGCACCACACUGAUGCAUAUGUUUGUCUCGCAUACAAUCUAUACCAGGAAGACUGCAAGAAUAUAAUUCACACUAUCUUACUUGAUUUUCAUUCCCAUCACCAUCCAAGUGCAUUGCAUCUCUCGCGCACCAGCUCACAUGCCUUACAGUUGCUGGCUGUAAGCACCAUUUAACACCAGCCAUCUUUCCAUGGCCACAACCAUCAGGCUACAUUACUCUCAUUAUCGGCAAAUAUAUGGUUCUAAUUAGAGAGAAGGUCAAAUUAUGGAACCAUAACUGAGCUAGUGGAAGACAUGCAGCUAUGAAACUGUGAGCCUGUACAUUUCUAGAUGUGAAACUUUUUCAAAAGUUUCGAGUUUGAAGUUAAAACUUGCAUUGCACUUACUUGCUGAUGACCAGUGUAAUCCUGCUGUACUGGGUUGCUUCUUUAUGAAGUGCGUCUACAUAUUAUUGCCACUUGACAAGCCUUAAUGUCAUAAAAAGGCAAUAAAAGUUCAUAUGCAUAUGAAAAAUCAGCAAGACUCACACACAGUUUGAGGCGUUUUCAACCUUUUAGCAGCAGAGACUUACACAAGGAAACGUGAGAAAUGACAUUUGAAAAUGCAGCUGAAGUUUUCAUUACCUCUUGUGAAUGCGUUAUAAAUCAAACAUAUGUCAGAGUGAUUUCCUAAAUUUUAGAGUCUUGCUGCAGCUUUAUUAAAUGUUUCAUCAUCCUGGAUUUAUGUUAUAAAUAAGUAAAAUCUCUAUCUGUGCCAUAACGUGGCAGCAUAUGCACUCGCAGAAACAAUAUUAGUGCUAUCUACAUUUUUAAUGCACUGUUCUUUUUUUUUUAGUAAGCAAUCUGGAAACUGAGGUCGAAAUUAAUUGAAACACAUCCGAAAGGAAGUGACAGUAGUCAGGGGUUUUUGUCACAAUGCUAGUUCCCAUCUGAGAAAUUAAUUUCACUGACAAAGCAUGGCUGCACAAGAGUAUAGCUUAGAAACUAUUUGUGGGCAUAAAUAAUAAAUGCUGUGGAGAGCAAAACAAACCAAGAGUUGGGCAAAAUGUCUUUUGGAUACCUUAACUAGAGCCUGGAGCUACAGCCCUGUGAGACCCACUUCAGCACAUUGUAUGUAUGUAGGUAUCCUAACAUGCUGUCACUUAAAGUUCUCCACAAUUGUAUCUCAGUGUGCAACAGUGUGGAAGAAUAUCCGAGAACUUGUAUUGUGUUACAUAAUAAUAAUACACGUUUUAUCAUAUAUUCUUAGCAUUUGAGCACUUUUUAAGCGAAGCUUAUGCAUGUUUGUUUAGGAGCGUCUAUAUUCACUCAUCUGCCUGCAUUCCUGGGUGUUUUGGCCUGCUGGGCUAUUCCUUACAUCACUUCUGCUUUUCUGCUGGUCAAACUUAGAUCUGUCAUCAUCACUCUGGCCCAAUCAGCAAUCUUACCCGCCUUCAGCCUCUGUCUCACCUGCUUUAAAUCUCACUGCUCUUCUGUCAUUCUGCCUUUCAGACCGUCAUUUGUGUGAAACACCUCCACCUCAUCUCCACUUCAACCUGGCUAGAUAGAGAUCUUUGUCCAAGUCUCCACUUCCUUCUGUUCCACCACUAUUUUUCCUACAUUAUAGGCUCCAAUCAGAGUCUAAUCAUAAAAAUAGUUUAUUAUUCAAACUCAAUUUCAAGAAAUAAUGCUUAGUUCUUUUCAAUGAUCUCUCAUUAUUAAAAGGUUAUUUUUGUUAAGGACUGGCUGUGUUGUGUUGGCAGACAAAGAAUAAACUUCAACGCAGCUUUAUUGCUGAACUCUCACUGAAUACAAAACAAAACAGGUCAUGACCUAAUAUUUCACAACAAGAAUCUUCCAGGAAAAAAAAAACACACUAUGAGGAAGGCAGAACGAAGACAGAGAUGAAAGGGAGACAGACAAUAAAUACAAACACAUGAUAAUGAGCGGAUUUGAAACAGGUGGGAAUGCAGCCAUGAAGCACAAGAGACUAAAGACUACCAAAGUAAAACAGGAAGUGAGAUAAGACAGACUAACAGCAUGCAAAUUUUCACAUAAGUAAAAACUAGAAGAAAAGGCAGAACAGGAACACAAGAGGAGAUCAACCUCAGGAUGUCAGAGGCAAAGAAAAAACAAUGAACAAGAAAUAGAAGAGAGUUAAAACUAACCAAUACACACAACAGAACUAUAACACAAAAAUAACCAAAGAUUCAAAAUCAGAAAAACUCCAAAGAUCCCAAAACUCAAAACAGCCAUGAAAGCUUUAAUGCUUUGAUUGUAGUGAGUUUACAUGCUGAAGUUUAUUUUCUUUAGUCCAAACUGAUGUUGACUGAUGAAACUUCAUUUAUGUUUUUUAGGUUUCUGACCAUAAAUGAUUAUCUGAUUAUGAACUGAACCAUCCGUUCUUGUGGAAAUGAAAGAGUUAACAAGUUAUUACAUCUUGAAUCAUGAAUGUCUUUUGCAAAACCAUAUCCAAGCUAAAAAAAAAAAAAAAAAAAAAAGCUAUCAAGGCGCUCAAUCCAAAAAUCCAACCAUUAGCUUCAUAAUGAAACAGUCAGAAAUUUCAGGAGACAUCUGGACACCAUGACUGUGCAAAUAUUCCAAAUUAUAUCCACUAAUUAUUUAAAUAUUUCAGUGUGGACCAAAGCAGUUGGCUGAGUGACAAAGUGACAGACUGACACUGCCAUCCUCCAGCAGUGCCACUACUCUAAGUAAACAUGUGGCUGAAUGUCAGUCUUUUUCAAUGUCCUAAUGUCAAACUCCUGGGUUGUUUGGAUCAUUAAAUGCUAGUUUGUCAGGUGCUCUCUAUUUGAUUCUGUUUGCUUAUAGUGUACACUUUUUCAUCCUCAUCUAUAUUCUUUAGCAUUUUGAACCUUUUGCUAUUAGUUACAGUUUUGUUUGUAUUAAAGCUAAAAUGUUCCCUCAGGAUCUUCUGUGUUAAGUUUAUUCCUGUGUCUGUGCUUCCCCGUUUAGUUAUUAACUGUGGUUUCCUGUUUUGUUUUGGUAGUUAUUUGUCUCCUGUGUUUUGUGUUUAAUUUUACUUCCCCUCCCAGCUCAUUGUCUUUGAUUACAUUACCUGCAUCUCAUUACUCUCCUGUGUCCAAUUCCCUGAUUACCCUUUGGUGUAUAAAUAGUGCUGUCUUCCCCUCAGUCUUAAUUUCUGUCUGUUACCCUUACUUAUGUGUUCCCUGCCUGGAUUCUGUUUAGUGCUGUCAUUUGGGGUUUUGUGUUGGCUUUUCCACUGGUUGAAUUAAAGGGUCAGCCAGAGCAUAAGGACUGGAUGGGAACCAACUUCAAUGCAACGGAGAGAUCACAUCGUUCUUAAAAGACAGCUGUGCAGGUUUAAUGGCCUGUUUUUAGUUCCACAGACAUGUGAUUGGUACUUCUGUCCAUCCUCUCCAGAAUCACUGGGUUGGCUCAGUGUUCUUCACUUCCUAACCUCUAUUGCUCCAGAUGUUGCAUGGCUAUUAAAGACGUUUAGUUAUUGCAAAUGUGGGAAAUUGACUCUUUAUUUCUGUCCCAUUUUUUGCACUGAUCAUCACCUGCACACAUGCAUAUAUUAAUCUGCUUAGCACUUUUAAUUCUUAUUUUUAUGUUUAAGUGUUGUCUUACAGUAUGUUUUGCACUAAGUACCGCAGCAAUUUCCUAAUGUUGUAAACCUGCUCAACAUUUGGCA